UGUUCUGUGGCUUAGUUGAUUAAAGCACCGGUCUAGCGAAUACGAAAGCGUGGGUGCAAAUCCCACCAGAACGC
rnacentral:tRNA from 1 species